GCCCGGCUAGCUCAGUCAGUAUAGCAUGAGAUUCUUAAUCUCAGGGACAUGGGUUCGUGCCCCACAUUGGGUG
rnacentral:tRNA from 1 species